GAUGAACGCUGGCGGCGUGCCUAAUACAUGCAAGUCGAACGAAUAGCGAAAGGUCCUUCCCCCUUUCAGGUGGGUGCCGACCGGGGGAGUAAACCUUGAACAACCUGCUUUAAGGCUGGGGUUAAUUUUUGGAAACAGAUCUUAUUACCGAAUAUAUCUUGGUGCCGCAUGACACAUAGUUAAAGGCCGCUUCGCCGUCACUUAGAGAUGGAUCCGCGCGGCAUUAGCUAGUUGGUGGGGUAAAGGCUUACCAAGACGAUGAUGCAUAGCCGACCUGAGAGACUGAUCGGCCACACUGGAACUGAGACACGGUCCAAACUCCUACGGGAGGCUGCAGUAGGGAAUCUUCCGCAAUGGGCGAAAGCCUGAUGGAGCAACGCCGCGUGUGUGAUGAAGGCUUUCGGGUCGUAAAGCACUGUUGUUAGGGAAGAACAGCUGUAAAAGUAAAUGAUUAUAUUUUGACGGUACCAAACCAGAAAGGGACGGCUAAAUACGUG
rnacentral:rRNA from 1 species